UUCGCAAUGCCCGAAAGGGUGACGAAGCGACGCCGCGUGGGUGAAGAAGGCCUUCGGGUUGUAAAACCCUGUCAGGAGUUAUGAAAUGUAAGUGCGCUAAUAUCGUGCUUAUUUGACAAAGGCUCCAAAGGAAGCCACGGCUAACUCUGUGCCAGCAGCCGCGGUAAUACAGAGCCGGCGAGCGUUGUUCGGAAUUAUUGGGCGUAAAGAGCACGUAGGUGGGUUUGCAAGUCAGAUGUGAAAGCCUUCUGUUCAACGGGAGAAUUGCAUCUGAAACUGCUAAUCUUGAGUAUAGGAGGGGAGAAUGGAACUUCUGGUGGAGCGGUGAAAUGCGUAGAUAUCAGAAGGAACGCCGGCGGCGAAAGCGAUUCUCUGGCCUAUUACUGACACUCAGUGUGCGAAAGCUAGGGGAGCAAACGGGAUUAGAUACCCCGGUAGUCCUAGCCGUAAACGAUGGGCACUAAGUAGA
rnacentral:rRNA from 1 species